CUGGGCCACUAUUGUUAGAAGAGCUACAGCUAUACCAGGCUGGACUGCUAGCUGGGCACUUACCACAGCUAACAGGCCUCCCACUACUGCUAACUGGGCCUUCACCACCACUGGCUGGGCUACCAUCAUAUUAUGCCUGGCCAAACACAAAACCAGCUGGGUUAACACCACAUCUAGCUGGGCAUUCAUCUCUGCAAACGGAGCUACAGCUACAUCAGACUCGACUUUGUACUGGGUCUCCACCACAGCUUGCAGGUCUUUUACCUCUGCUAACUGGGCCUUCACCACCACUGGCUGGGCUACCAUCAUAUUAUGCCUGGCCAAACACAAAACCAGCUGAGUUAACACCACAUCUAGCUGGGCAUUCAUCUCUGCAAACGGAGCUACAGCUACAUCAGGCUCGACUUUGUACUGGGUCUCCACCACAGCUUGCAGGUCUUUUACCUCUGCUAACUGGGCCUUCACCACCAUUGGCUGGGCUACUAUUACGCCUGGCCUGGCUAACAGCCCAAUCAGCUGGGCUAUCACCAAAUCUUGCUGAGCCUCCACUGCUAACAGAGCAACAGCUACGACAGACUCGACUACAAACUGGGUUUCCACCACAACUAGUGGGCCUUCUACACCACUGACUGGGCUACUACCACAUCAGACCCAGCUAACAUCACAACCACCUGGGCCACCACCACAACUACCUGGGUCUCUACUAUUGCGAGCAGAGUCACAGCCACACUUCCCACCACUGCCAACUGGGCUUUCAUCAACACUGGCUGGGCUACCAUCACAACAGGCCUGGCUCUCACCACAUCCAGCUGGGUCACCUCAACAUCCAGCUGGGUCACCUCAACAUCCAGCUGGGCCACCACAACAUCCAGCUGGGCCACCACAACAUCCAGCUGGGCCACCACAACAUCCAGCUGGGCCACCACAACAUCCAGCUGGGCUACCACAACAUCCAGCUGGGCUACCACAACAUCCAGCUGGGCUCCCACAACAUCCAGCUGGGCUCCCAUUACAUCAGACUGAGCAGUUACCUCCGUUACGUGACCGAACUGAGCAGCAACCACUGCAUCAAGGAUCAUGUUUACAACUGCAGCUACCUGAGCGCCCUCUGUUGGAUGAAGUCAUACUUGUCAGACAGAAAACAGGCAGUUCAAAUUGGUGACUCAUUGUCUUCAUACCUCACUUGUUCUGCUGGAGUUCCGCAGGGCUCAAUACUGGGUCCUGUUUUAUUUAGCUUGUAUGUCAAUGAUCUACCUGAUGUCUGUAGAAACAUAAAAAUACAACUAUAUGCUGAUGACACUGUACUAUACUGUCAUGCAAACUCUAUGCAAGAAGCUGCUACAAGACUCUCAGGAGCCAUGGUGCCGGUGUCCCAUUGGCUCCAAAACUGCUGCCUACAUCUGAAUACAAAAAAAACCUGUAUGUUUUUUUCACGACAACCAACAGGGGGGCAGCAACCAUCAGUUAUGGUAGAUGGAGAGAGACUUGAUGUGGUUGAUCAUUUUAAAUAUCUUGAUCAUUUUAAAUAUCUUAAAAUACCUUUGACUCUUCUCUUAAUUUUAAGCAACAUGUUAAAAAAGUAAUACAUAAAGUUAAAGCUAGUUUAUCUAAUUUUAAACACAAGACCUUUCCUACCCAUGGAGACCUAUAUGCAUGCAAUGAUAUUUACUCACAUUUCCUACUGUUACACUACAUGGUCACACACAGCAGAGAACAUUUUAAAACCAAUUAAUUCUCUCUUCAAGAGAACACUUAAAGUUCUUGAUAACAAGCCCAUAUAUCACCACCACUGUAACAUUGUUAAGAAAUACCAAAUAUUGGACUUUGAUAGUUACCAGUUGUUUUUAGAUGUCUGUCUCAUUUUUAAGGUUUUGAAUGGACUAGCCCCUCCACCAUUACAGGAUUUCAUAAAGAAAAAAUCUUCACGAGUAAACACAAGAGCACUGACAAAAGGGGACUGUGAAGUCAAAUGGCGUAGAACUAAAUUCAGCCAAAUGGUGGUGUCCAUUAGAGGAACGCAGUCCUGGAAUACACUGCCAGCUCAUAUCAGACUGUGUGACAACAUCAACACCUUCAAAAUGACCCUUAAACAGUGGCUGAAGAUAAGUCAGACCUGCUCCCAUUAAUGACCUUAAUUUCCAGGUGUAUAUUGUGAACUUGGUUUUACUUUCUGUACUUUUAUAUGUAUUUUGUGUUUGUGAUGUAUGAGUAUAAUGUCUGCAUGUUCUGUGAUGUUGUAUUGUUUGUUUUAUUGUUGUUUGGCUUAUGAUACCUGCCUUAGGACAACGGAUGAAAUUUAGCAAUUAUGCUAACUCUGGCAUAUUUAUAUUGAUGUUUUUUACUGAUGUAUUGAUUAAUGUGCAAUGUCCUAAUCAAAUAAAUGAAAUGAAAUCCC